GGCCUCGUGGCCCAAUGGACAAGGCGUCGGACUUCGGAUCCGAAGAUUGCAGGUUCGAGUCCUGCCGGGGUCG
rfam:Anisakis simplex genome assembly, scaffold: ASIM_scaffold0001932